rnacentral:rRNA from 1 species
UACGUAGGGCGCAAGCGUUGUCCGGAAUUAUUGGGCGUAAAGAGCUCGUAGGCGGUUUGUCGCGUUGUCCGUGAAAUUCCCUGGCUUAACUGGGGGCGUGCGGGCGAUACGGGCAGACUGGAGUACUGCAGGGGAGACUGGAAUUCCUGGUGUAGCGGUGAAAUGCGCAGAUAUCAGGAGGAACACCGGUGGCGAAGGCGGGUCGCUGGGCCGUAACUGACGCUGAGGAGCGAAAGCGUGGGGAGCGAACAGG